GAUCCUGGCUCAGGACGAACGCUGGCGGCGUGCCUAACACAUGCAAGUCGAGCGGAGACAGUGAGUAGCUUGCUAUGAACUGUUUUAGCGGCGGACGGGUGAGUAACGCGUGAGCAACCUUUCCCAGACAGGGGAAUAACACACCGAAAGGUGUACUAAUACCGCAUAAGACCACGGGAUCACAUGGUUCUGGGGUAAAGGAAUUAUCGGUUUGGGGUGGGCUCGCGUCCGAUUAGGUAGUUGGUGAGGUAACGG
rnacentral:rRNA from 1 species